GACCUAGGUGGCGAACGUUAUCCGGAAUCACUGGGCGUAAAGGGUGCGUAGGCGGGGCUUUAAGUCAGGGGUGAAAUCCUGGAGCUCAACUCCAGAACUGCCUUUGAUACUGAAGAUCUUGAGUUCGGGAGAGGUGAGUGGAACUGCGGGUGUAGAGGUGAAAUUCGUAGAUAUUCGCAAGAACACCAGUGGCGAAGGCGGCUCACUGGCCCGAUACUGACGCUGAGGCACGAAAGCGUGGGGAGCAAACAGG
rnacentral:rRNA from 1 species